rnacentral:rRNA from 1 species
GACAGAGGCCUCAAGCGUUAGGCGGAAUCACUGGGCUUAAAGCGUGUGUAGGCGGAUCGUUAAGUGUCUUGUGAAAUCCCACGGCUCACCCGUGGAACUGCUGGGCAUACUGGCGAUCUUGGGCCAACUAGGGGCAACUGGAACAAGCGGUGGAGCGGUGAAAUGCGUAGAUAUCGCUUGGAACGCCGAAGGUGAAAACAGGUUGCUGGGGAUGCGCCGACGCUGAGACACGAAAGCCAGGGGAGCAAACGGG